AAGGAUCAUUAACGAAUUGCAGCGAGGGGGGAAGGGGGCCUCCAGCUCCCACUCACCCCUCCCUCGCGCGCGCAAUGCGUCUACCCUGUCCUUUGAGCACCUUUUGUUUUCCCCCGACGGGGCGACUCGUCGGAUGGGACACCAUUUAAACCCUUUGCAUCAGCAGUGUAUCGUCAGUAACAAACAAAAUGAAUCAAAACUUUCAACAAUGGAUCUCUUGGCUCUG
rnacentral:misc_RNA from 1 species